GAAGGUGUGCUGUGAGGCAUGCUGGAGGUAUCAGAAGUGCGAAUGCUGACAUAAGUAACGAUAAAGCGGGUGAAAAGCCCGCUCGCCGGAAGACCAAGGGUUCCUGUCCAACGUUAAUCGGGGCAGGGUGAGUCGACCCCUAAGGCGAGGCCGAAAGGCGUAGUCGAUGGGAAACAGGUUAAUAUUCCUGUACUUGGUGUUACUGCGAAGGGGGGACGGAGAAGGCUAUGUUGGCCGGGCGACGGUUGUCCCGGUUUAAGCGUGUAGGCUGGUUUUCCAGGCAAAUCCGGAAAAUCAAGGCUGAGGCGUGAUGACGAGGCACUACGGUGCUGAAGCAACAAAUGCCCUGCUUCCAGGAAAAGCCUCUAAGCAUCAGGUAACAUCAAAUCGUACCCCAAACCGACACAGGUGGUCAGGUAGAGAAUACCAAGGCGCUUGAGAGAACUCGGGUGAAGGAACUAGGCAAAAUGGUGCCGUAACUUCGGGAGAAGGCACGCUGAUAUGUAGGUGAAGUCCCUCGCGGAUGGAGCUGAAAUCAGUCGAAGAUACCAGCUGGCUGCAACUGUUUAUUAAAAACACAGCACUGUGCAAACACGAAAGUGGACGUAUACGGUGUGACGCCUGCCCGGUGCCGGAAGGUUAAUUGAUGGGGUUAGCGCAANGCUGCAACUGUUUAUUAAAAACACAGCACUGUGCAAACACGAAAGUGGACGUAUACGGUGUGACGCCUGCCCGGUGCCGGAAGGUUAAUUGAUGGGGUUAGCCGCAAGGCGAAGCUCUUGAUCGAAGCCCCGGUAAACGGCGGCCGUAACUAUAACGGUCCUAAGGUAGCGAAAUUCCUUGUCGGGUAAGUUCCGACCUGCACGAAUGGCGUAAUGAUGGCCAGGCUGUCUCCACCCGAGACUCAGUGAAAUUGAACUCGCUGUGAAGAUGCAGUGUACCCGCGGCAAGACGGAAAGACCCCGUGAACCUUUACUAUAGCUUGACACUGAACAUUGAGCCUUGAUGUGUAGGAUAGGUGGGAGGCUUAGAAGUGUGGACGCCAGUCUGCAUGGAGCCGACCUUGAAAUACCACCCUUUAAUGUUUGAUGUUCUAACGUUGACCCGUAAUCCGGGUUGCGGACAGUGUCUGGUGGGUAGUUUGACUGGGGCGGUCUCCUCCUAAAGAGUAACGGAGGAGCACGAAGGUUGGCUAAUCCUGGUCGGACAUCAGGAGGUUAGUGCAAUGGCAUAAGCCAGCUUGACUGCGAGCGUGACGGCGCGAGCAGGUGCGAAAGCAGGUCAUAGUGAUCCGGUGGUUCUGAAUGGAAGGGCCAUCGCUCAACGGAUAAAAGGUACUCCGGGGAUAACAGGCUGAUACCGCCCAAGAGUUCAUAUCGACGGCGGUGUUUGGCACCUCGAUGUCGGCUCAUCACAUCCUGGGGCUGAAGUAGGUCCCAAGGGUAUGGCUGUUCGCCAUUUAAAGUGGUACGCGAGCUGGGUUUAGAACGUCGUGAGACAGUUCGGUCCCUAUCUGCCGUGGGCGCUGGAGAACUGAGGGGGGCUGCUCCUAGUACGAGAGGACCGGAGUGGACGCAUCACUGGUGUUCGGGUUGUCAUGCCAAUGGCACUGCCCGGUAGCUAAAUGCGGAAGAGAUAAGUGCUGAAAGCAUCUAAGCACGAAACUUGCCCCGAGAUGAGUUCUCCCUGACUCCUUGA
rnacentral:rRNA from 1 species